ensembl:lncRNA
UAACUGACUGUCUUUCCAGUCUGACUACUCCUAUCCAAGCGCCAUGGCCAGACUUACCACUGGGCUCGACUGGGCUGAAGCCCAUGGGCCCUGCCUUGUACAGGGCCCCGCCUUUGCCCAUUUAUGUUUGUUUCAUUUGUUCAGUUAUGCCAUAUCCACUGCACACGCAUGGGUUAACAGCUUCCAACUGCGACCUUCAAGGCCAUAAUCAAACAGCAUAAAACUGAUUCUGUUACCAUUGCCAUGCAUUGUACGGCUGAGAGACUACAGCGGCUGAAGCUAAAAAUCUUUGUUUGUGUUCUACUGAAGAAACAAAGUCACCUACAUCUUGGAUGCCCUGGGGAAGGCCUAUAUACUACCAGCCUGGACUGACCUUCUGUUCCUCCUCAUUACACACAUAACACAAUCAUUCCCAGCACAGGACAGGAAGUAUGAAGAACUAUGAAAAUAAACCAGUGAAGUGAUUUUCCCACAGUGUGGCUGCCUGGUAACAAUCUGAAAAAUAACAUUGUCAGAUAAUGUAUUAGUUAGUUGAUGCAUUAACUAACAUUAAGUAAUGGGACCUUAUUGUAAAGUGUUACCCAAAAUUUGUGAAAAAAGUAGGUGAAUCAACAUUCAAGACAAUUAUUUUUAAAGGGGUCAUAUGAUGAUAUGAUUACAAGUUUUCCUUUCUCUUUGGAGAGUUACAAGCUGAUUGUGCAUUUCCUCUUGACAAUAUCCCAUAGAUUCUCUCUGGG